UAGCAAUACUGAAUGGCUUUGUUUCCCAUACUUGUGAUGGGUUCUGGGAGAAAGGCAUCCUCGAGCCAUGAAGACUGCAAAACAAGCAAGAUCAUUGAGUCAUGAGCUAUCUUUGUGCUGCAAGUAGGCCUCUCCACCUCACUACACUACGCAUAUGGAAAGACUUCAUCCACUUUAGAUGAGACAACCCGUCAAAGAUGAAAUAAAAACCAAAGAGACCUCAGCACUUUUCAUUGCUUACCAUACAACUUGGAGGAUCAAGGUUAGACUUUCAACUUAUUUCAAACAUUGCCAUUUUUUCUUUGAUAUGUAUGAGUGCAUGAAACCACUA